ensembl:lncRNA
AGGGUGUAAUGAAGCAUGGCUUCCUGCAGUUGGCCGCUCUAACUUCCCAGUGCUGUCGCCGCUUCACCUCCCAUUAAAUUCACGUCCUGGAUUCUUCCCAAAGUUCACCCAGUGGAAGUGUUACCAUAUCUACCGCCCACUUACGCACCACCUUGGCCCCCGUGACAAAUGAAAGUGCACCAGACAGGUCAAAAGCUGGUGUUUGGGUUAUACUCUGAGCGGAAGUCCAAAGACUACAUUAGUGCUUGGACACAAUAAGAUUAUGGUAAGUGAAAGAUUCUCAACAUGCAAAGAGGAAAAUCAGUCUUGAAAAUGGAAGAGUUCUUAAAAGAAAUGAAACAUAUCUGGAACUGAGAAAAGAGAAAGAAAAGAACAAAUUAAGCUGAAUUGCUAAAUAGUAUUUGGACUAAAGAAGGUCACUUUUUAAGAUUUAAAUGUUUUCCUCUGUGAAAGGGGCCACUGCUUCCCAAAUCCAGAAACAAGCCCACGAAUAUGUUAAUUAAGUGCAUUGUGUCCCAGAAAGAAUGCGUUUGACAAAUUCAUUUUUAUUCCUUCAAUUAAUAAACUGUUUGCUGAGCCAUCUAAGAUUUUUUAAAUCUAUAAUGUGUAUAUUUGCCAUUGUACAGUAACAGUGCCAAGGACCAACAUGACCCCAUAGGGUGAAUCUUAUGAAGCUUAACAUUCCUGGCGAAUUAAACACACAAGCCUCAGAUCUUUUUGUCAGUCUUACUUUACUGUGGAAUUGAGAGCCAGAAUGUAGGUAAUUUUUAUAUGGUGGCACUUUAGCCCAAUUAAAAAAGCAAUCAUCUUUGGCACAAGCAGAGGGGACAAAUAUAAUGACAUAAUAUUAAAGAAAGGUUUCACAAAGGCUGACCAGGAAUGCUACUCCCUCUCCGUCCCCACCCCCACUCGUACUUUUUUUUUCUUCCCAUUUGUUGUUUUUCUCACAAGAACAUCCUGACUUUUAAUUUUUUUUCUUUUACUUUGAAUGAAACAAACCAAAAAAAAACAUCUGAGAUAGUAAAAGAUGAAAAGAAAAUUCAUCUUCUGCUAUCAACUACAUAACAUAAACUUGCAAAGCUAUUCUAAAUAUUCAAAGGCUUAUAAAUAAAAAAUGUAAAUUGAGCAGGGGAUGAGUGUGAAACAGAAUGAACAGAUUGAAAAUACUUAAUUUUCAAUUUCGAUUUUCUCCUAUUCCAGCCUUCCCAUAGUUAUGCUUUAAAUGAAUUCUCACAUAAAAAUUUUCCCUUUGCCUCGAAAUAAGUGAAUGAUUUCCAGGAGGAAAUGCAGCUUUAGAAAGAAGACCUGCAAAAUGAAAGUGUUCAAAUGCAAACUACUAUAGCAUUUCAAAUGCAAAAUCACAACCUUCACCACCUUUAACUGACUCUUAAAGGGUCUUUUCAAACAUGCUAUUUACGACAUCAUCUGUUAACUUCAUUUUCUAAUUCAAAACUCUUGCCAAAUGAUGUUUUCAUGAUGACGUGUAAAUAUAAUAUUCCAUUAGAGAUCAAUUCUAAUUGGUUUUUUAAAAUCCACCUUGGGAAACAGUGCUGCAUAAUACACAGACUCGUAAUGAGUAUUUUAGAAGGAAUUUCCAAAGUCUUAUAAUUCCUAAAUCCAAAUUACUCUUCUUCCUAAUAAGCUUUUGGUCACAGGACUUAAAUUAUUUCUUCACGAAUCCUCACGCAGGAGGACUCUGGUCUUGUCUACAAGACCAGGAUCACUUGUUGGAAAUCAUUUUUUAAAAACUGACGUUUGCCAAAAAUAUUUUUCCCACAUGACUCACAAAGGAAAACAGUUUCUUAGGAUGGGUUGCAAUUUAUUUUGUUUCCAAAACGUGGUUUAAAGUCAUAAUGGACGUUUUUCCCUUUUGAAAUUCCCUGUUAUUUUGGAAACGCAUUUCACCUUAACGAACCAAGCCCCUUUUUGUUAGUGCUCUUCCUUGUAAAACCAGACUACUUGUAUACAACAAAGAGCUGAGUAGUAACAAAUGAGGACAAAAAUAAAUAAAGUGCUUUUCUGAACUCUUUGAACGCUAACAUCCAUUUUCGAACCCACACAUUUAAAGAUAUUUUAAAUAUUAUAUAAUCUGCUUUACUUUCACAUUCGGGGGGAGAUUGGCCACAUUUGUCGCUUAUCUAGUGAUGACUUUAUAAACAGCUAUGCAGCUUUCCCUUGUAACAUGUGAGCUGCAGGCUGGCCUAAAGUCUUUUCCUUUAGCUGCACGUUGUGAAAGCGCCUUUCUAUGAGGUCUACGGCUGGGAAAGCCCCUUGCAGGCCAGAGGGUCAUAAAACCGGCCGGGCGAGAGGGGGCGAGCCUCGUGGGCUUCCGCGGGCCGCAGGCUGCAGGGGACAAGUCGCAGGUCCCCUCCCCCGGGAAAAACGCGUCUCAGGGCUUUGGCGCUGGGGCCGAACAAUGGAAACACCCUGGAGCCCGGCGGCUCCGGCUUCCUUCGACUCAGUCCCCGGGUUUUCCGGCUCUGGCCUCCCGACCCCGGCCACCUCCCUAUGCCGGCCCUUCCCCCAUGCCACAUGAGAGUGCCCUCCAAGUCUCAUUGCCAGUGAAAUGCUGAGUUGCUGUUUCCUUCCGGAAAAAAAGAUUUCCUCCGGAAAAAGAUUCCCUCCUCCAGAAAUCCAAAUCUAGAAGGAAAUACAACCAAUCCGACAUAACCUUUAUUAACCUUGUCUUAAACUCUCCAGCGAAUGCCUUCUGAAGAGAGGAUGUGCCCAGCAGCACGCAGCGAAUCAAAGGUUUUAUCUUACGCCUCCUGGGACUAGGGAGAAAGUACCAGGACGAGGGAGCUGAGCUACCAAGGCAGAAAGCAGCCCGACUGCAGGAACAGUACCUACUACAACCUGCGCAGAGAUUUCAUCAAACAAGAAAGGCUGUUAAAAAAAACUUGAGUUCGAGACCUAGGAUGCAAAGGUUAUUUCCUGGACUGUGCCUUCAUGCGUUUUCAAACUUCUUAGCUGCAAGUGGAAGACAGUGAUUGGCUCCAGUGCUUACGAAGGAUUUGGGCUAAAGCCAGGGGAACAGAACCAGAGGAUUCCCUUCCAGACCAUCACACUGCUUCUGCCUUAUCUUUCCUUUCUCUCCUGGGUGCUGAAGAUUUUAGUGUAGCUUCAGCAGCCCUUAGGUAGGCCUCAACACUUAAUGUCAUCACUCCAGUUUCUUCACAUUUGGCCUUCGUGUAAAAUAAACAAAAACUUGGGUAACCCCAAUAAAUGUUCCUUCUUGAGAUUUGUGUAUUAUUUAAUAGAAGAUUGAACUUUACUUUCUGUGAGUUUGUCCUCUAUGUUCAGGAUCAAUUGUGAAAGGCCCUUGUGUCUCAUAGGAAAAUAUUACAACAAAACAGGAUAAUUGGGGGGAAAGGCAGUUGUAGUAGGAAAAGUGGCUUUUCUUUGAUAGCAUUUAAUUGGAAUUAAAAGAUUCUUGAGCUGUAAACAUUCUUUAUUUAUUCAGCACACAUAAGCAGGCAUUGUUUUAUCACCAUCAUAAUUAUGGUGUCCUUUAAACUGGCUGAUAGCAGGAGAGAUAAGGGAUGUGCCUGCAGAUUCAGAUCAGGUCUCACUCCUCCCCCACCUUUUUUCCUCCUCUCUGUGCAGCCCCCCCCC